rnacentral:rRNA from 1 species
UACGGGGGGGGCAAGCGUUGUUCGGAAUUACUGGGCGUAAAGGGCCAGUAGGCGGCCAACUAAGUCGGAUGUGAAAUCCCCAGGCUUAACCUGGGAACUGCGUCUGAUACUGGUUGGCUUGAAUCCGGGAGAGGGAUGCAGAAUUCCAGGUGUAGCGGUGAAAUGCGUAGAUAUCUGGAGGAAUACCGGUGGCGAAGGCGGCAUCCUGGACCGGCAUUGACGCUGAGGAGCGAAAGCUAGGGGAGCAAACGGG